GAUGAACGCUGGCGGCGUGCCUAAUACAUGCAAGUCGAGCGAACUUUUGGGAACUUGCCCCCUCUAGUUAGAGGCGGAGGGGUGAGUAAAACGCGGGUAAACCGUCUGUAAGACUGGGAUAACUUUGGGAAACCGGAGCUAAUACAGGAUAAAAUUGUAGACCACACGGGCUUCAAUUAAAAGGUGGCUUUUAGCUACCACUUACAGAUGGACCCGCGGUGCAUUAGCUAGUUGGUAAGGUAACGGCUUACCAAGGCAACGAUGCGUAGCCGACCUGAGAGGGGGACGGCCCAACUGGGACUGGGACACCGCUCCGGCCCCUUCGGGGGGCAGGCAUAAGGGAUCUUUCGCAAAUGGCGGAAGUCUUGCCGGGCCACGCCGCGGUGAGUGAGGAAGCCUUCGGGUCGUUAAAAUCCGUUUUUUAGGAAGGACCAGAAUUGUACGAAAAGGGCGGUACCUUGACGGUACCUAACCAGAAAGCCACGGCUAACUACGUG
rnacentral:rRNA from 1 species